AUCGAGAUAAGGACUGCGAAGAAAAGUGGGAUAAAGAACGCAGGUAGAAAACUAACAGCACACUGAAAGUGGAUAACGAUACUAGCGUUGGACGUUACAACAUUCGUGGUCAUGGCACCUGUAUAGUUCGAGACUUAUGCACCAAGCAGCUGGAUAGUUUGUUUUGCUACAGGAGGCGAGGCUUGAACCCACGACGGGCAAGUUGUUACGUGGCAUCGCGCAUAUUCAAUAUUUUGAAAAUCAUACAUCAUACAAGAUUCAUGAAUCUCUUGAGAUAUAUGCAUUUUAAUGGAUUCAUGAACCUUUUUGAAGAUUCUUGGGAGAUUCGUGAAUCUUUCAAGAGUCGAUUUGAGAUUCGAAUCACUAAGCACUGAAGAUUCGUAUGAAUGAUUCUCGACGAAAGAUUUAUGGAACAACUUUUCGAUUGUGACCGAGAUUGACUAUUUGUUUUGCCGAGCAGGACUCGGUUAGAGUUUAUAACAACUCCAUGGAGCCCAUUUUCCAGUCUGAAUCAACAUUUCUCAACAUUAAAAAAACCCUAAAAACCGUUUAAA